UGACAGCAAACAUGAUAUCGGGAAGACU
rnacentral:piRNA from 1 species